ensembl:snoRNA SNORD58 Small nucleolar RNA SNORD58
UUGCAAUGAUGACUUCUUAGGACACCUUUGGAUAACCCAUGAAAACAAACCAUGAAUAUACUGAGCAAC